UACGUAGGGGGCAAGCGUUAUCCGGAUUUACUGGGUGUAAAGGGAGCGUAGGUGGCAUGGCAAGCCAGAAGUGAAAACCCGGGGCUUAACCCCGCGGAUUGCUUUUGAAACUGUAGUUCUUGAGUGAUGGAGAGGCAGGCGGAAUUCCGUGUGUAGCGGUGAAAUGCGUAGAUAUACGGAGGAACACCAGUGGCGAAGGCGGCCUGCUGGACAUUAACUGACGCUGAGGCGCGAAAGCGUGGGGAGCAAACAGG
rnacentral:rRNA from 1 species